rnacentral:rRNA from 1 species
UACGAAGGGGGCUAGCGUUGUUCGGAAUUACUGGGCGUAAAGGGCGCGUAGGCGGUGUGUCAAGUCAGGCGUGAAAGCCCCGGGCUUAACUCGGGAACUGCGCUUGAUACUGUCGAGCUAGAGUGUGGAAGGGGCGAUUGGAAUUCCGUGUGUAGCGGUGAAAUGCGUAGAUAUACGGAGGAACACCAGAGGCGAAGGCGGAUCGCUGGGCCAACACUGACGCUGAUGUGCGAAAGCUAGGGGAGCAAACGGG